GACGAACGCUGGCGGCGUGCUUAACACAUGCAAGUCGAACGGAAAGGCCCUGCUUUUGUAGGGUGCUCGAGUGGCGAACGGGUGAGUAACACGUGAGUAACCUGCCCUUGACUUUGGGAUAACUUCAGGAAACUGGGGCUAAUACCGGAUAGGAGCUCCUGCUGCAUGGUGGGGGUUGGAAAGUUUCGGCGGUUGGGGAUGGACUCGCGGCUUAUCAGCUUGUUGGUGGGGUAGUGGCUUACCAAGGCUUUGACGGGUAGCCGGCCUGAGAGGGUGACCGGCCACAUUGGGACUGAGAUACGGCCCAGACUCGUACGGGAGGCAGGAGUGGGGAAUAUUGCACAAUGGGCGGAAGCCUGAUGCAGCAACGCCGCGUGCGGGAUGACGGCCUUCGGGUUGUAAACCGCUUUCGCCUGUGACGAAGCGUGAGUGACGGUAAUGGGUAAAGAAGCACCGGCUAACUACGUG
rnacentral:rRNA from 1 species